AAUGCCACACUCCGGGAACAAUAUUCGGCUCUAUACAACAUUGUGCAUCACAAGGGUGAUACUAUUGCCACUGUAAUGGAAUCAUUUCUGCCAAAUGUGACGUUCAGAAGAGAUUUAAUUGGACCUAGACUCCAAUCGUGGUUUAUCCUGCUUCAAUGGUUGUCCACGGUGCAAUUGUCACAUGGGUCUGAUGUAUUUUGAUGGAACCUACAUGAGAAUGGAAAAUUCUCAGUGGAGUCUAUGUGUAGAGCUCACUCUGUGCAUUUUAAAACCGAACCGAAAAACCAUACCAAAAAUAAACCGAACCGAACCGAUUUUUUUGUUUUUAUGGUUUCUGGUUUCGGUAUGGUAUGA
rnacentral:rRNA from 1 species